UUCGAGCAUUUUCAAAUUGUUAAUGGAAAAACUUAAUUAUUAAUAAAAAAAAAUUUUAGUUUCUCAAUUGUUAACUUCUUACCUUCCAAGUAAUUUGACUAUACAUUAAUAGUUAAUUCCAAAGAUAUUUCUUUUUAUAUGCCUAUAAAUAAUAAAUUAUGACUAGUAGACAUUAGAACUAGCUUUUAAGUACCUGAUCAAUACUAAGCUGACCUAAGGAUUUAGCAAAAAAAACCUUUUCACAAAGUACAUUGAUCUCUGUCUUUGACAUUCUCAAUAUAACUUCCUACAACACUCAUCGUCUUCGAUUUCAUUUCCGCCUCGAAUUUCACGCUUAAUAUUCAUCUUAAUCCUAUUUCAACCAAAAACUUUUCAAAGAUUAAGGGAUUUUCACACGUACACGCGUAAUUCCUGUCAAUGUUUUGCCCGGUCUAGAUAGACGUAUGCUCGGUGAUUUCUCUUACGAGAAAGGGACGAAGAGAAGGUGAAAUGACGAAGGGUGCAAAUAUUGUGCACCGUUGUCGCAAUAUUAUCGUUUCGAAAAGACGCACACACCAGCUCGGGCCACGCUUUAUACUCGUGGGUUCGCUUGCAAACAGAUAACGUGCGACCCCGAGUGGUUUACCGGCUAGUCCUGUUUGGCUUACGGCUUACGAAGAUAUCCCACCACCUCCAGGAACACGCGUUGCUUGUAUAGGAUCAUCAUAGGAGAAAACUCGCGAGGUAUCCGAAAUGUAUAUAUUUUGGAUGAACUCGUUCCACGUAUUUCUAGUCUCACAACUGAUUUCGAGAUCUGAUCUUCCGUACGUAGAUACCGAAUCUUUCGAUGUACGAUGCUAUGUUCGUUUGCAAAAAGAAGACGAAGUACAUUUGCGUCUCUGUUAGAAGUUUCUAUGCGCUUUAGAUGUGCGCAGUGUACUUUGAAACGAAGUAGCUACGAGGUUAUUUUUCUUUGUUGUAAAUUAAUGCGCAGUUAGAUUGAUAAAUUUUUUAUGUGAAUUGUGCAUAUAUUAUUGCAUAGAUUGUGUUAUUCAAUACUUCUCAGGAUCAAGUUCAAAAAUAAUAAAAUAAAAUAGCGAUUAUUUAAUAUUUUUUGUGUUUCAAAUCAUCUAACGAGAUAUAUAUUAUAUGCGAGAAAUUUUCGUCUUUGUGGCGAAAAAAUGUGCAAUUCGAUAAUUUAUAAAAAUUUGUAAAAUCGAAAUAUAAUCAAUCACUAAAUCAAUGAUUUUGAAACGAAAUAGUUAUGAGUUCAACUGGAGAUCGGUAUCGUGUCAACUUCUACGAAAGAACAAAGAGAUUUUCUCUAGAAUGGAAGAAAUAGUUUUUAAAGUCGACCUUCAUACUCCAGAAAAAUGUUAAACCAUGCGACAAUUUCCUAGACACCAGUUGAUACAUCGUGGACCUUUUUCUGUUUUCCAUAAUACCCGUGAAAAUCUGGAGCAGUCCCGUUUCUUUUUCCUUUGCAUACCUUUGACCAUUUCUAUGGGAAUUACUCCAGUGAUUUGUUGCUUCUGUCGUGGAAAUCGAAAAACAGAAUACGAACAUGGAAUAUCACCCAUCGACGCGAUAUGGCUUGUUUGUAUAUUUCGACACUCGGAAUGAAGAUGGGAUUUGUAUCGAGAAUCGAUCGAUAUCGCUACAAUGCUCUCAAUAUUGUGGAAACAAUUCUAAUGUUUCGUAAAUCUUGUAAAGAUUUAAAAAAGAUAUCGUAAUAAAAUGUUAAAUAAAAAAUCUGGAGAAAUUAUAGCGUGAUAGAUUUAAGAGACCAUUGCUAUAUAAAUUUUGAUCACGAUAUCAAUUUUGAUAUUUGCAAAGAAAUAAAUGAUAAUCGUAAUAAAGAAAAAAGAAACAAAAGGAAUAAAAUAUUUAAAAAUUUCUUAAAAAUUGAAACAACCCAAAGUUUCACCAUAUCGAAGACUCUCUAUCUCUUUUUCUCCAUGUUUCGAGUCCUUUCUUUUUGGUUAAACAAACGAAAGAAAAGAAAUUUCUUUCUUUAGGAAAUAUUUUAUGCGUGCACCGAAUUUUUGAAAACCGGUAAAGAACAGAAUCGCAUUGAACACGAGGGUGAAAGUACAAGUACCGAAAAGACAGUUAGUUUUGGUUCGUAGGAUCCCUUCGUCCGCACACCUCGAACGAGAAGCAUGCAAAUACGACGGACUCGUCAAAGGGACGAAGAGUCAUUCGAAAAUAUAUAAUUCAGACCGUAAAUGGCCCUCUUACGGACUGGUAAAACGGUUAACUUUUAACGUGACCGGCUUAGGUAUGGAACCUUGGAAAGCGUAGUUUCCAUGCGAAAGGAAAAAGAAGCGACGAAAAGUGUAGGACAGAUCGCAUUAUCCUUUGAUAAAACGACUUCUUGGCGGGCUAAAGGUGGCGGAGGGGAGAGAGAAGGGUGAAGGGAAGGAGGAAAAAUGCGAAACUCGUUAUUAAGAAAACGAAUCAUAAUGGAAGGUGCUUGAAAGAUUGAUGGGACAAAGGACGAGGAGAUAGAAGUUGGUGUAAAAGUUGGCUCUCUGUAUAAUUUUAUACAGGGCCUAAGAAUCAGGAUGAGGCUGGUGUUAAACGUUCCGUUUGAUCGAUGUGAAUGUUGAAGAAUAAAAUUUCUUAACGGAAUUUUUAAGGAAGAGAUACAAUAAAG